rnacentral:lncRNA from 1 species
AGAGUAUCUUUUUUUUCACUCUUUACUUCAUUAGGCAGGUAUGUUAAUUACAAGUUACAACUUAUCUGACCUGAGAAAUGUUCUGUCAACGGGAUCAUAAAACUAGGCUUAACAGGUAUGCAUAGGGGUGGCAAACGGGGGUUGAGUCGGAUAUGAGCGGAUCAAAAACGGGUAAUUCAAAAAAUAGACAAACUAUCCGGCCCGACCUG